rnacentral:rRNA from 1 species
GACGGACCGUGCGAACGUUGUUCGGAAUCACUGGGCUUAAAGGGCGCGUAGGCGGGCCUCCCAGUCCGGGGUGAAAGCUUUCGGCUUAACCGGAAAAGUGCCUUGGAUACUGGAGGCCUGGAGGGGGGUAGGGGCAGCCGGAACUUCCGGUGGAGCGGUGAAAUGCGUUGAUAUCGAUAGGAACUCCGGUGGCGAAGGCGGCAUACUGGACCACAUCUGACGCUGAGGCGCGAAAGCCAGGGGAGCGAACGGG